rnacentral:rRNA from 1 species
GUUGGGUAGGGGAGCGUUCUGUAAGCCUGCGAAGGUGUACUGUGAGGUAUGCUGGAGGUAUCAGAAGUGCGAAUGCUGACAUAAGUAACGAUAAUGCGGGUGAAAAACCCGCACGCCGGAAGACCAAGGGUUCCUGUCCAACGUUAAUCGGGGCAGGGUGAGUCGACCCCUAAGGCGAGGCUGAAAAGCGUAGUCGAUGGGAAACGGGUUAAUAUUCCCGUACUGGUGGUAACUGCGAUGGGGGAACGGAGAAGGCUAGGUUGUCCGGGCGACGGUCGUCCCGGUUCAAGCAGGUAGGCAGAGUGAUUAGGCAAAUCCGGUCACUUAAUGCUGAGAUGUGAUGACGAACCACCAAGGUGGUGAAGCAAUUGAUGCCCCGCUUCCAGGAAAAGCCUCUAAGCUUCAGGUUACCAACAAUCGUACCCCAAACCGACACAGGUGGUCAGGUAGAGAAUACUCAGGCGCUUGAGAGAACUCGGGUGAAGGAACUAGGCAAAAUGGUGCCGUAACUUCGGGAGAAGGCACGCUGGCGGUAGGUAAAGUCCCUCGCGGACGGCGCUGAAGCCAGUCGAAGAUACCAGCUGGCUGCAACUGUUUAUUAAAAACACAGCACUGUGCAAACACGAAAGUGGACGUAUACGGUGUGACGCCUGCCCGGUGCUGGAAGGUUAAUUGAUGGGGUCAGCCGUAAGGCGAAGCUCCUGAUCGAAGCCCCAGUAAACGGCGGCCGUAACUAUAACGGUCCUAAGGUAGCGAAAUUCCUUGUCGGGUAAGUUCCGACCUGCACGAAUGGCGUAAUGAUGGCCAGGCUGUCUCCACCCGAGACUCAGUGAAAUUGAACUCGCUGUGAAGAUGCAGUGUACCCGCGGCAAGACGGAAAGACCCCGUGAACCUUUACUAUAGCUUGACACUGAACAUUGAGCCUUGAUGUGUAGGAUAGGUGGGAGGCUUUGAAGUGUGGACGCCAGUCUGCAUGGAGCCAACCUUGAAAUACCACCCUUUAACGUUUGAUGUUCUAACCUAGGCCCAUAAACUGGGUCGGGGACCGUGUCUGGUGGGUAGUUUGACUGGGGCGGUCUCCUCCUAAAGAGUAACGGAGGAGCACGAAGGUUGGCUAAGCAUGGUCGGACAUCAUGCGGUUAGUGCAAAGGCAUAAGCCAGCUUGACUGCGAGAGUGACGGCUCGAGCAGGUACGAAAGUAGGUCUUAGUGAUCCGGUGGUUCUGAAUGGAAGGGCCAUCGCUCAACGGAUAAAAGGUACUCCGGGGAUAACAGGCUGAUACCGCCCAAGAGUUCAUAUCGACGGCGGUGUUUGGCACCUCGAUGUCGGCUCAUCACAUCCUGGGGCUGAAGUAGGUCCCAAGGGUAUGGCUGUUCGCCAUUUAAAGUGGUACGCGAGCUGGGUUUAGAACGUCGUGAGACAGUUCGGUCCCUAUCUGCCGUGGGCGUUGGAAGAUUGAGAGGGGUUGCUCCUAGUACGAGAGGACCGGAGUGAACGCACCACUGGUGUUCGGGUUGUCAUGCCAAUGGCAUUGCCCGGUAGCUAAGUGCGGAAGAGAUAACCGCUGAAAGCAUCUAAGCGGGAAACUUGCCUCGAGAUGAGUCUUCCCUGUCGCUUUAAGCGACCUAAAGGAACGUUUAAGACUAAGACGUUGAUAGGCUGGGUGUGUAAGCGUAGCGAUACGUUGAGCUAACCAGUACUAAUGAACCGUGAGGCUUAACCUG